UUAAGCGACUAAGCGUACACGGUGGAUGCCCUGGCAGUCAGAGGCGAUGAAGGGCGUGCUAAUCUGCGAUAAGCGCCGGUAAGGUGAUAUGAACCGUUAUAACCGGCGAUACCCGAAUGGGGAAACCCAGUGUGAUUCGUCACACUAUCAUUAACUGAAUCCAUAGGUUAAUGAGGCGAACCGGGGGAACUGAAACAUCUAAGUACCCCGAGGAAAAGAAAUCAACCGAGAUUCCCCCAGUAGCGGCGAGCGAACGGGGAGGAGCCCAGAGCCUGAAUCAGCAUGUGUGUUAGUGGAAGCGUCUGGAAAGGCGCGCGAUACAGGGUGACAGCCCCGUACACAAAAGCGCAUGUGCUGUGAGCUCGAUGAGUAGGGCGGGACACGUGGUAUCCUGUCUGAAUAUGGGGGGACCAUCCUCCAAGGCUAAAUACUCCUGACUGACCGAUAGUGAACCAGUACCGUGAGGGAAAGGCGAAAAGAACCCCGGCGAGGGGAGUGAAAAAGAACCUGAAACCGUGUACGUACAAGCAGUGGGAGCACNGUGUGACUGCGUACCUUUUGUAUAAUGGGUCAGCGACUUAUAUUCUGUAGCAAGGUUAACCGUAUAGGGGAGCCGGAGGGAAACCGAGUCUUAACCGGGCGUUAAGUUGCAGGGUAUAGACCCGAAACCCGGUGAUCUAGCCAUGGGCAGGUUGAAGGUUGGGUAACACUAACUGGAGGACCGAACCGACUAAUGUUGAAAAAUUAGCGGAUGACCUGUGGCUGGGGGUGAAAGGCCAAUCAAACCGGGAGAUAGCUGGUUCUCCCCGAAAGCUAUUUAGGUAGCGCCUCGUGAAUUCAUCUCCGGGGGUAGAGCACUGUUUCGGCUAGGGGGCCAUCCCGGCUUACCAACCCGAUGCAAACUGCGAAUACCGGAGAAUGUUAUCACGGGAGACACACGGCGGGUGCUAACGUCCGUCGUGAAGAGGGAAACAACCCAGACCGCCAGCUAAGGUCCCAAAGUCAUGGUUAAGUGGGAAACGAUGUGGGAAGGCCCAGACAGCCAGGAUGUUGGCUUAGAAGCAGCCAUCAUUUAAAGAAAGCGUAAUAGCUCACUGGUCGAGUCGGCCUGCGCGGAAGAUGUAACGGGGCUAAACCAUGCACCGAAGCUGCGGCAGCGACGCUGAUGCGUUGUUGGGUAGGGGAGCGUUCUGUAAGCCUGCGAAGGUGACCUGUGAGGGUUGCUGGAGGUAUCAGAAGUGCGAAUGCUGACAUAAGUAACGAUAAAGCGGGUGAAAAGCCCGCUCGCCGGAAGACCAAGGGUUCCUGUCCAACGUUAAUCGGGGCAGGGUGAGUCGACCCCUAAGGCGAGGCCGAAAGGCGUAGUUGAUGGGAAACGGGUUAAUAUUCCCGUACUUGGUGUUACUGCGAAGGGGGGACGGAGAAGGCUAUGUUGGCCGGGCGACGGUUGUCCCGGUUUAAGCGUGUAGGUGUGUGUUCCAGGUAAAUCCGGUUCACUUUAACACUGAGGCGUGACGACGAGGCACUACGGUGCUGAAGCAACAAAUGCCCUGCUUCCAGGAAAAGCCUCUAAGCAUCAGGUAACACGAAAUCGUACCCCAAACCGACACAGGUGGUCAGGUAGAGAAUACCAAGGCGCUUGAGAGAACUCGGGUGAAGGAACUAGGCAAAAUGGUGCCGUAACUUCGGGAGAAGGCACGCUGACACGUAGGUGAAGUGAUUUACUCAUGGAGCUGANCUGGGGGUGAAAGGCCAAUCAAACCGGGAGAUAGCUGGUUCUCCCCGAAAGCUAUUUAGGUAGCGCCUCGUGAAUUCAUCUCCGGGGGUAGAGCACUGUUUCGGCUAGGGGGCCAUCCCGGCUUACCAACCCGAUGCAAACUGCGAAUACCGGAGAAUGUUAUCACGGGAGACACACGGCGGGUGCUAACGUCCGUCGUGAAGAGGGAAACAACCCAGACCGCCAGCUAAGGUCCCAAAGUCAUGGUUAAGUGGGAAACGAUGUGGGAAGGCCCAGACAGCCAGGAUGUUGGCUUAGAAGCAGCCAUCAUUUAAAGAAAGCGUAAUAGCUCACUGGUCGAGUCGGCCUGCGCGGAAGAUGUAACGGGGCUAAACCAUGCACCGAAGCUGCGGCAGCGAACGUAUCACCCAAGACAACUUUACGGAGUUGACGAUUGACGGAGCGAAGCGACGUCAAAGCGUUCAUUAAAGUCGAGUUGGCUUAGGGAUACGUUCGUUGGGUAGGGGAGCGUUCUGUAAGCCUGUGAAGGUGUGUCGUGAGGCAUGCUGGAGGUAUCAGAAGUGCGAAUGCUGACAUAAGUAACGAUAAAGCGGGUGAAAAGCCCGCUCGCCGGAAGACCAAGGGUUCCUGUCCAACGUUAAUCGGGGCAGGGUGAGUCGACCCCUAAGGCGAGGCCGAAAGGCGUAGUCGAUGGGAAACGGGUUAAUAUUCCCGUACUUGGUGUUACUGCGAAGGGGGGACGGAGAAGGCUAUGUUGGCCGGGCGACGGUUGUCCCGGUUUAAGCGUGUAGGUGUGUGUUCCAGGUAAAUCCGGUUCACUUUAACACUGAGGCGUGACGACGAGGCACUACGGUGCUGAAGCAACAAAUGCCCUGCUUCCAGGAAAAGCCUCUAAGCAUCAGGUAACACGAAAUCGUACCCCAAACCGACACAGGUGGUCAGGUAGAGAAUACCAAGGCGCUUGAGAGAACUCGGGUGAAGGAACUAGGCAAAAUGGUGCCGUAACUUCGGGAGAAGGCACGCUGACACGUAGGUGAAGUGAUUUACUCAUGGAGCUGAAGUCAGUCGAAGAUACCAGCUGGCUGCAACUGUUUAUUAAAAACACAGCACUGUGCAAACACGAAAGUGGACGUAUACGGUGUGACGCCUGCCCGGUGCCGGAAGGUUAAUUGAUGGGGUCAGCGCAAGCGAAGCUCCUGAUCGAAGCCCCGGUAAACGGCGGCCGUAACUAUAACGGUCCUAAGGUAGCGAAAUUCCUUGUCGGGUAAGUUCCGACCUGCACGAAUGGCGUAAUGAUGGCCAGGCUGUCUCCACCCGAGACUCAGUGAAAUUGAACUCGCUGUGAAGAUGCAGUGUACCCGCGGCAAGACGGAAAGACCCCGUGAACCUUUACUAUAGCUUGACACUGAACAUUGAGCCUUGAUGUGUAGGAUAGGUGGGAGGCUUUGAAGUGGGGACGCCAGUCUGCAUGGAGCCGACCUUGAAAUACCACCCUUUAAUGUUUGAUGUUCUAACGUGGACCCGUAAUCCGGGUUGCGGACAGUGUCUGGUGGGUAGUUUGACUGGGGCGGUCUCCUCCUAAAGAGUAACGGAGGAGCACGAAGGUUGGCUAAUCCUGGUCGGACAUCAGGAGGUUAGUGCAAUGGCAUAAGCCAGCUUGACUGCGAGCGUGACGGCGCGAGCAGGUGCGAAAGCAGGUCAUAGUGAUCCGGUGGUUCUGAAUGGAAGGGCCAUCGCUCAACGGAUAAAAGGUACUCCGGGGAUAACAGGCUGAUACCGCCCAAGAGUUCAUAUCGACGGCGGUGUUUGGCACCUCGAUGUCGGCUCAUCACAUCCUGGGGCUGAAGUAGGUCCCAAGGGUAUGGCUGUUCGCCAUUUAAAGUGGUACGCGAGCUGGGUUUAGAACGUCGUGAGACAGUUCGGUCCCUAUCUGCCGUGGGCGCUGGAGAACUGAGGGGGGCUGCUCCUAGUACGAGAGGACCGGAGUGGACGCAUCACUGGUGUUCGGGUUGUCAUGCCAAUGGCACUGCCCGGUAGCUAAAUGCGGAAGAGAUAAGUGCUGAAAGCAUCUAAGCACGAAACUUGCCCCGAGAUGAGUUCUCCCUGAGACUUAGAGUCUCCUGAAGGAACGUUGAAGACGACGACGUUGAUAGGCCGGGUGUGUAAGCGCAGCGAUGCGUUGAGCUAACCGGUACUAAUGAACCGUGAGGCUUAACCUU
rnacentral:rRNA from 1 species